GGGGACAGAGUGACAGGUGGUGCAUGGUUGUCGUCAGCUCGUGUCGUGAGAUGUUGGGUUAAGUCCCGCAACGAGCGCAACCCUUGAUCUUAGUUGCCAGCAUUCAGUUGGGCACUCUAAGGUGACUGCCGGUGACAAACCGGAGGAAGGUGGGGAUGACGUCAAAUCAUCAUGCCCCUUAUGACCUGGGCUACACACGUGCUACAAUGGAUGGUACAAAGGGCUGCAAACCUGCGAAGGUAAGCGAAUCCCAUAAAGCCAUUCUCAGUUCGGAUUGCAGGCUGCAA
rnacentral:rRNA from 1 species